UCCUCCUCCGCGUUAAUUAAUUUUUUGCCACUCUAGCGGAGGCGGAGCGGGAGGAGAGGACGACGGGGAGCGCUCCGGGCGACGGCGGCUGGAGGAAAAGGGGCCGGGUGGCCGGUGGUGCUUCCCCGCACAGCAGCGAUCCGGGGCCGACGCGCCGCGGAGGGGGCGGCGUCGAUCCAGCGCCACAGGGGCAGACCGGCGGCACGCCUACACCGCGGCAGCCUGCGGCCAACAGGGCCGGUGGCUCAAUAGGACGACCAAGAAAGCAUCCAUGGCGAGCGGCACCGACCGCAUUAGUGCCCUCCCCGAUGAAGCCCUCCACCUCGUGUUGUCCUUCCUACCCGCACAUGAGGUGGUGUCAACAGCCCUACUCGCCCGGCGCUGGCGCCACCUUUGGAAAUCCGCCCCUGCCCUGCGUGUCACCGGCGUCAAGGACUGCGACAACCCUGGGUGGUUCAUUCAGUACGUUGACAGCCUGCUCCUCUUCCGCCACUCCGGUGCUCUCCUGGACUCGUUCAAUCUUGAUCUUGACGAGUGCGACUUUGGUUUCAAGCCGUUCCUACCCACCUACAACAUGAACGUGAAUUUAUGGUUCCGGCUCGCGUUGUUCUGCCAAGCUCGGGUACUCUCAUUGCGCACCACCCAUGGUAUCUACAAGUACGAGGACAACCGGCCUUUGCAGCUACCAAGUGUGCCUAUCAUCUCCCAGCACCUUAAAAGAUUGGAUCUUGAAUUGGUGUGUUUAAAAGGGAGCACUCUCGAUUUCUCGGGGUGUCCAGCGCUGGUUGACCUCAAGAUGAAGACUUGUGAGAUUCUUGGAGAUUUGAAAUCCCCAUUUUUGAAACAACUCAGCAUUAGCGGCUGUUACUUUGCGUAUGGUUCCUCUCGCACUCGGAUUUAUUUGCCAGGUCUUGUUUCACUGGUGCUAAGUGAUUUUGGCCGUAGGACUCCACUGCUCAACAACAUGCCAUUGUUAGUUUCAGCGAUUGUCAGAGUUACUGAUCGCUGUGUUGAUGAUUGUCCUAAGAGUAGCUAUGGAGAUUGUGAAGAUCCAACCUGUUUUGGUUGUCAUAAUUCCUAUGAAGGUGCUGAUGAUGGGCGCGGUGAGUCCAUACUUUUGAAAGGUUUAUCUCAAGUUAUGGAGUUGGAGCUCUCAGUUGAUUCGAAAGUGUUUAUUGUCAACAGGGAUUUGAAAUUACACCCUACAUUUUGCAAGUUAAAGAUGUUGUUACUCAGUGAAUGGUGUCCCGGCGUUUCUGCAAGUCUCAAUGUAUUAACUUGCUUCCUCCAAUACUCACCAAUUCUGGAGAAGCUUACCCUCCAGCUUUCAAAGGUACCUAAAGAUCGAGUGGAAACAGAAAGAACUUGUGAACCAUCGGAAAAAUCAUUUGCAUGCGGCCAUCUUAAGAUAGUUGAGAUCAAAUGUGAAGAAGUUGAUGGGAGGGUUCACAAAGUUUUGGACAUCUUGUGUACUUAUGGCAUACCACUCGAAAAAGUUAAUAUCCAACAAACUAAUAGAGCUUCUGGACCUUGAUAAACAUGCAUUUGAAGAUUUGGUUCUUCAAUGAAGCUACACUUUCCCUUAUCUAUGUUCUUCAAGUGAGGUACCUUCAAAUCUUCAAGUAGAGGGUAAGAAGACCUGGGCUGUUGAUGAUCUAUUAUGUCCUUGACCAUUUGAUAACAGUGGGCAAGCUUGCAACGAUGACGUUUCUGUCUUCUGUCUAGAGGGAUCUUAUGUUGGUUCCACUCAUAGAAACGAUUUUACAGACUUGGUACUUGGUAGUAUGACUUGUUUGGAUGUAAUUAAACCUGCUUUAACGGGCUAUCUAGUUUCACUACACUUUUGGUUACUGGGUUUGCAAGAUGAUAUCAUCCUUUA